rnacentral:sRNA from 1 species
AAUGGCGAAGUCGGGAGUUAUGUGGCCAGACAGCUUGCGCACUGACCACGGAUGUACUGGCAGAGGCGAUAGCUACAGGAAGGCUGGGGCAGCGAUGCACCGGCCUUUUUUGUU